UACAGAGGUGGCAAGCGUUGUUCGGAAUUACUGGGCGUAAAGGGCGCGUAGGCGGUUCGAUAAGUCCCGUGUGAAAUCCCUCGGCUCAACUGAGGAACUGCACGGGAAACUGACGGGCUUGAGUUCGGGAGAGGGAAGCGGAAUUCCGGGUCGUAGCGGUGAAAUGCGUAGAUAUCUGGAGGAACACCGGUGGCGAAGGCGGAUCUCUGGGCCUUACCUGACGCUCAGGCGCGAAAGCUAGGGGAGCGAACGAG
rnacentral:rRNA from 1 species